rnacentral:tRNA from 1 species
UCCAGGGUAGCCUACUGGACAUGGCAUCUACCCGGUAAGCGGAACAGUGCGGGUUCGUUUCCCAUCCCUGGAU